AUACGAAGGGGGCAAGCGUUGUUCGGAAUUACUGGGCGUAAAGGGCGCGUAGGCGGCCGAUCAAGUCAGGCGUGAAAUUCCCGGGCUCAACCUGGGGGCUGCGCUUGAUACUGAUUGGCUUGAAUGCGGGAGAGGAUAGUGGAAUUCCCAGUGUAGAGGUGAAAUUCGUAGAUAUUGGGAAGAACACCAGUGGCGAAGGCGGCUAUCUGGCCCGUGAUUGACGCUGAGGCGCGAAAGCGUGGGGAGC
rnacentral:rRNA from 1 species